AAACACUUCUCUCUCACUCAGCCUUCGCUAACGACCACCGCUCGCUUUCUGACUGCAUUGUCAGCUGCUGAAGAUAACAUUUUCUGUAAUUCUAAAUCUCUGUGUGAGAAAUUCCAACAAGACAACAUGUACAGCUCUGUAACUGUGAUUUUGAUGUCACUGCUAAUUCCUGAGUUGGUUCGUGGAUGGUGUCAAUUUAUUCCACAGGAAACUUUGGCCAUUCCUGGAAAGAAAAGUAAGGGUCAUCUAAGGUUACGAGCAUUUAUACUGAUAACGAACUUUCGUUUAUGUGACGGACACAAGAACAUCUCUUUGUUUUUCGAUGAUCGAAUUUUUUCUAUGGUUUUUUGCAAGUUAUUUUUAUAUCAUUAUUCAUUUGCUUUUUAUUAUUUUUGCAGUGUCAUUAGACUGUCUUUACAAGGACUCCAUCCGGGUUCCUUAUCGGCAGAGCUACCGCGACGAAAAAACCUGUCAGGACUGUAGCUGCUCAGAUAGUGGACUACAAUGCUGUGGGUAGGUACAAUUCACAGAACUAAAAUUGUCUUAAUAUUAAUGUAUCCAUACCUCUAUUAUGUAAGACUUAGUUUAUCGGGGCAUUUUAAUGAAGGCUUUGUGAAACCACUGUCUAUAUAACUUUUUUUUUUCAUAAUGAAUUUAACAAUCUAAUAUUUUUUUUUUAAAUGACUAAGGGUUAAUGAACGUAAAUAAAUGCAUAUUUUAUUGAUAUUUGUUUUUAAUUUUGUAAGAUUUGGAAACAACGCCGGGGUAUUUCACGUUGAGGGAUGCAUCGAAAAGAAGGACGGUUGUUAUUCCACGUAUGUGGACGCUAACGAUCCAACAAAGCCUUGCCCCUCCACCCAGACCACCACCCAGGCCCCACCUGUGCAUAACGAACAAGUGCCCGAUAAUCAGGUUUACAGAAAUCCGUUUGCCUCCAAGGGUCAGGAUUCCAGGUACAACCCGUUUAAUAGCCCAAACUCUCUGUAUAAUUUCAAUUUGAACGAGAAGCCAUCAGAAGACAAAGCCGAGAGACAGCGGCAGUACGAGUUCCUCCUGUCCCUGCUUCAGUACUACAUGAUCAACGGCAGUUAAUCCGGUCCCUUAAUCCGGGGUCAAAGGGCACGGUCGAGGCUACAGAAAUCCAUCGUUUUAUUAAUUUAUUAUUAACUUUAUUUAUUGAUUUGAUAAAUAUGUAUUUUAUUUUAUUUUUCGUUUUCGUCUUUUCGGGAAUAUUUAUUAUGUGUCACCAAUUCACAUUAAAGAAUACGUGAAUGCAAGUCUUGGAGACCAUGUUUGUUUGGUAACAUUUGUCUAAUGAAUGUUUGUGCAUUUGUGUUUGGAUAAUAAAAGACAAUUGAAAUU
rnacentral:misc_RNA from 1 species